rnacentral:lncRNA from 1 species
GACCUCGUCUACCCAUCAAAUCUUAAUCUGAGUACUUUAAAAAGCCAUUUCCAUGCAACACUGAAAAGGGAGUAGAACUUGAGGAGGAAAAUAUGGUCAUAGAAUUUUACUCCACCCACUAUCUAAUCAAUCUACCAAGUGCUACCUCUGUACCAACCACUGAGCUGGACGUUGAAAGGCAAAAAUAAACAAGACAUAAUCUCUCAUACAAUAAAGCAGGAAGGGAAGGAUAUACACAAAAUACGUGCUAUAGGUUUUAUAGGAACUAUGUAAGAAGUAUAUACAGGGUAUGAUGGGAUACAAGGAGGGAGUUACAAAAGACUUCACACUGGAAUUAGGUUUUAAAAUAUAAAACAGUGUUGGCAAUUAAAGAAGUGGGUGGAGAGAAUGUAGAAUGUCCAACAACAUGGCAUGUUUUGGAACCCACAAACUUUCAGUGUGACUAGAACAGAGGUCAUAAGAGGAUUCAAGACUAGAAACAAGGUUAAUCUGGAAAUGGUAUCGAGAGUAGACUGUAAUGAGACCAGACUGGUGGCAGGAAGACAAUUGCAGCUGCCCGGUGACAGAAGAGCAAAAGCCGAAUUAAGGCACCCUCUAUGGACCAGAGAACAACCUCUAGGAGUUGAGAGCAGUCCCUGGCUGAUACCAAGAAAACAAGACUUCAGUUCUAAAGCUGCAGAGGAAUGAAAUCUGCCAAUAAAAGGAAUGAUCUUGGAAGAGGACUAUGAGCUCCAGUGAAUUCUUCCAGAAGCAAGACCAGUGCCCUUGAUGACAAAAAAGAGCAAGAUACAAAGUAGUAAAUGAUACUGCAACUGGC